UACGAAGGGGGCUAGCGUUGCUCGGAAUCACUGGGCGUAAAGCGCACGUAGGCGGCUUUUUAAGUCAGGGGGGAAAUCCUGGAGCUCAACUCCAGAACUGCCUUUGAUACUGAAAAGCUCGAGUCCGGGAGAGGUGAGUGGAACUGCGAGUGUAGAGGUGAAAUUCGUAGAUAUUCGCAAGAACACCGGUGGCGAAGGCGGCUUCUUGGGCCGUUCCUGACGCUGAGGCGCGAAAGCUGGGGGAGCGAACGGGAUUAGAUACCCCAGUAGU
rnacentral:rRNA from 1 species